GCGGAUAUGGCGGAAAUGGUAGACGCACUAGAUUUAGGAUCUAGUAUCGUAAGAUGUAUGGGUUCAAGUCCCUUUAUCCGCACCA
rnacentral:tRNA from 1 species